rnacentral:misc_RNA from 1 species
AACAUCGCGCACCUGCGGGAACCUGCGGAGGGAUCAUUACCGAGUGUGAACCCCCCCGUAAAAAAGAGGGGUUACCUCCCGUCCUUUGCUGGGAACCCCUUUCCAACUUGGAAGGAGGUUGUUUUCAGACCCUUCUGCUUCGGUGGGGUAACCCACCGGAACAACCUCAAAAAUAUUCUCAAUUCAAAACCGUUCAGUCCGAGAACUUUUUUGAAAAGCGAAAAAACUUUUAGCAAUGGA